UACAGAGGUGGCAAGCGUUGUUCGGAAUUACUGGGCGUAAAGGGCGCGUAGGCGGUCGAUUAAGUCCCGUGUGAAAUCCCUCGGCUCAACUGAGGAACUGCACGGGAAACUGGCUGACUUGAGUUCGGGAGAGGGAAGCGGAAUUCCGGGUGUAGCGGUGAAAUGCGUAGAUAUCCGGAGGAACACCGGUGGCGAAGGCGGCUUGCUGGACCGAUACUGACGCUGAGGCGCGAAAGCUAGGGGAGCAAACGGG
rnacentral:rRNA from 1 species